ACGAGUGGCGCACGGGUGAGUAACGCGUAUGCAACCUACCCUUAACCGGGGGAUAGCCCGGAGAAAUUCGGAUUAAUACCCCAUAAUAUCGAGUUAUUGCCUGAUAAUUUGAUUAAAAUUUCGGUGGUUAAGGAUGGGCAUGCGUGACAUUAGCUAGUUGGUAAGGUAACAGCUUACCAAGGCGACGAUGUCUAGGGGGCCUGAGAGGGUGAUNCCCCCACACUGGUACUGAGACACGGACCAGACUCCUACGGGAGGCAGCAGUGAGGAAUAUUGCGCAAUGGACGGAAAGUCUGACGCAGCCAUGCCGCGUGCAGGAUGACGGCCCUAUGGGUAGUAAACUGCUU
rnacentral:rRNA from 1 species